rnacentral:lncRNA from 1 species
GAGGGGGAAGUGCUUCCGGGGAAACGGGCCGGGGUUGGUGUUUGUAAACUUGCCUCGGUCCCGGUGGGGGCAGCCGCGGCGGUGGGGUUGGCAGGGUGUGCUGGGGCCUGGAGGAGGCGCCGCGCGGCCGGGGAGCCAGCGGGAGGCCGCGCCUGGCAGGUUUCUGAAACAGAUCGUGAGCUUCAUCAAGAGAAUUCAACUGGAAAACCAAGACUGGUAGACUCUCUUUUUCUUCAGACAAUAGGCAGGAGCCAGGCAGAGUCCAGGGAUUCUUGGAACACCUAUCUUUUCUUCGGAGGACACUAAGUUCUAUUUGAAAACAAAGUUCAAUAUGGCAACAGGACUGAUGGGACACGAAGGAGUCGCUACCGUGAUUUGGUGACAGUUCUUCAAAACGACAGUGUCUCAAGGAAAGGUGGACCUAGGAACUCCUGAACUUUUGGGUUGCCUUAAGUGAGAAAUCAGCAUGGCUCAGGUAAAAAGCUCUAGAGUCCUCCUCCAAGAUAACUGGGAAGCCUGUUUGCAGUUUCACUCUUGAAUGCUGCCUUAGUCAAC